rnacentral:lncRNA from 1 species
GUGCGCGCGCACCUCAGCCCUGCUUUUUGAUACAAAGUCCUCAAAAGCGGCCCCCUCUCCAAGAUCACCGGGUGUCAGCUGUCCAGAAGGGGGAACGCGUCAGACUUGGCCAACUGAGGCUGGGCUGGACCCCUAUUGUGGAAUCGCGGACACUUCCUACAGUUGUCGAACGCAAUCCGUCUACACCACCUUGUGUCACUACCUACCACCAUGGGUUUGGAGCUCUACCUGGACCUGCUGUCGCAGCCCAGCCGCGCGGUCUACAUCUUCGCCAAGAAGAAUGGCAUCCCCUUUCAGUUGCGUACCGUGGAUUUACUCAAAGGGCAGCACUUGAGCGAGCAAUUCUCCCAGGUGAACUGCUUAAAGAAAGUGCCUGUCCUCAAAGACGGAAGCUUCGUGUUGACCGAAAGGUGCAGCUGUAAAUAAACCCAGAGCCCUCAC